ACAACUACUCGUAGACUCCUACGGGAGGCAGCAGUGGGAAUUUUGGACAAGUGGGGCAACCCUGAUCCAGCCAUGCCGCGUGAGUGAAGAAGGCCUUCGGUUGUAAAGCUCUUUCGGCGGGGAAGAAAUGGCAACGGCUAAUAUCCGUUGUUGAUGACGGUACCCGCAUAAGAAGCACCGGCUAACUACGUGCCAGCAGCCGCGGUAAUACGUAGGGUGCGAGCGUUAAUCGGAAUUACUGGGCGUAAAGCGUGCGCAGGCGGUUUCGUAAGACAGACGUGAAAUCCCCGGGCUCAACCUGGGAACUGCGUUUGUGACUGCGAGGCUAGAGUACGGCAGAGGGGGGUAGAAUUCCACGUGUAGCAGUGAAAUGCGUAGAGAUGUAGAGGAAUACCGAUGGCGAAGGCAGCCCCCUGGGUUAGUACUGACGCUCAUGCACGAAAGCGUGGGGAGCAAACAGGAUUAGAUACCCUGGUAG
rnacentral:rRNA from 1 species